rnacentral:sRNA from 1 species
AAAGCGUGAGCGGGAUCAGUGUGUGCGGAACGCGAGCAGCCGAGAGCGGAGAGGCGCCGCUGUAGUUAACUCCUCCCUGCCCGCCGCGCCGACCCUCCCCUGGAUCCCCCAGGCAGCCAGCAUGAAGCGAGCUCACCCCGAGUACAGCUCCUCGGACAGCGAGCUGGACGAGACCAUCGAGGUGGAGAAGGAGAGUGCGGACGAGAAUGGAAACUUGAGUUCGGCUCUAGGUUCCAUGUCCCCAACUACAUCUUCCCAGAUUUUGGCCAGAAAAAGACGGAGAGGAAUAAUUGAGAAGCGCCGACGAGACCGGAUCAAUAACAGUUUGUCUGAGCUGAGAAGGCUGGUACCCAGUGCUUUUGAGAAGCAGGUAAUGGAGCAAGUAGGUAAAGCUCUCAGCAUAGCUAUCUGCACCUUCUGAAUCUUCCCCCCAUUAAUCUCAUCCGCCUUGGAAAAUAGUUGUGUUGCUUGUGCCUAGAUGAAUUCGUACACAGAUACCAGCGUAUUUUGUGAAGACAACUGAUUUUGCUUUAGUCCAUGCUUUACGAUUUACAAAGCAUGUAUCUUUGUAUAUAUGUUUGCAUAUUUUAAAUUGUUCCCCAAAGGAACUUG